rnacentral:lncRNA from 1 species
CCAUUCAUUUGAUCAAUUGAUCAAGAUGAAUUAGAUUUGAAUCAAGGAAGAUUAAGCCUCCCUAAUCAAUGCUAACUUAUCAACCUUCAACUCAUUGAUCAAAAAAGAAAAAGAAGAAGAAGAAGAAAGAGAUGAAUAAUGGAAAAGGAAAAUGGAAAGAAUAAAGUGCAUAAGGUGAAAUCAAAUGUACCAAUCCAUAUGUGUUGACCAAAUGACAUUGAAAGUCAAAGUCAAACAAUGAGAAAUCAGAAAUGAGAUGAAGAUUGGAGGUCAAACAAUAAGCAAAAUAUUUUUGGCAUUUUUAAUAUUAAAAUAAACUUGAAUUAAAAAAUAAAAG